GAUGAACGCUGGCGGCGUGCCUAAUACAUGCAAGUAGAACGCUGAAGCUUGGUGCUUGCACCGAGCGGAUGAGUUGCGAACGGGUGAGUAACGCGUAGGUAACCUGCCUGGUAGCGGGGGAUAACUAUUGGAAACGAUAGCUAAUACCGCAUAACAGUCGACAUUGCAUGAUGUUGAUUUGAAAGGGGCAAUUGCUCCACUACCAGAUGGACCUGCGUUGUAUUAGCUAGUUGGUGAGGUAACGGCUCACCAAGGCGACGAUACAUAGCCGACCUGAGAGGGUGAUCGGCCACACUGGGACUGAGACACGGCCCAGACUCCUACGGGAGGCAGCAGUAGGGAAUCUUCGGCAAUGGACGGAAGUCUGACCGAGCAACGCCGCGUGAGUGAAGAAGGUUUUCGGAUCGUAAAGCUCUGUUGUAAGAGAAGAACGAGUGUGAGAGUGGAAAGUUCACACUGUGACGGAACUACCAGAAAGGACG
rnacentral:rRNA from 1 species